rnacentral:rRNA from 1 species
GAUGAACGCUGGCGGCGUGCCUAAUACAUGCAAGUCGAGCGAACAGACGAGGAGCUUGCUCCUCUGACGUUAGCGGCGGACGGGUGAGUAACACGUGGAUAACCUACCUAUAAGACUGGGAUAACUUCGGGAAACCGGAGCUACUACCGGAUAAUAUAUUGAACCGCAUGGUUCAAUAGUGAAAGACGGUUUUGCUGUCACUUAUAGAUGGAUCCGCGCCGCAUUAGCUAGUUGGUAAGGUAACGGCUUACCAAGGCGACGAUGCGUAGCCGACCUGAGAGGGUGAUCGGCCACACUGGAACUGAGACACGGUCCAGACUCCUACGGGAGGCAGCAGUAGGGAAUCUUCCGCAAUGGGCGAAAGCCUGACGGAGCAACGCCGCGUGAGUGAUGAAGGUCUUCGGAUCGUAAAACUCUUUUAUUAGGGAAGAACAAAUGUGUAAGUAACUAUGCACGUCUUGACGGUACCUAAUCAGAAAGCCACGGCUAACUACGUG